GGUUCUUUUGUUUGUCAGAGGGCUUGUAUUGUACUCUUAGAUAUAUAUGCACAACCAAAAUGAAAAUACACAAAGAAAAUCAAAAUUCGUUCUUUCUUCUUCAAGAAACAAAACACGCACACAUUGUGGUUCGCUCAAAGAUCGGCUGUAGAGGAGAAUGGCAGAAACUAAGGAAAGAUCAUCAGGCUGUAGAGGAGAAUGGCAGAAACUAUUUAUAGUUUCAACUAUUUAUAGUUUCUGAGGUCCAGUCACAUCCACCAAAGAGUAUUGUGAAGAAAAUUAUGUACAUUCGUCAUACAUUGCAGAACUUUAUAACACUAUAUCCAACAUUCCCACAAUUAUUUUGGCUCUGAUUGGUCUUAUAAAUGCUUUAAGACAGCGAUUUGAGAAAAGGUUCAGUAUCCUUGAUCUAUCAAACAGGACACUUGCCAUUGGGAGCAUGUUGUACCACGCCACACUGCAACGAGUGGAUCUAGAAUGGUUACACACAUGGCUUCUAUACCAUCUCCAUAAGUGUGCAUUGAUGUGAUAGAGAUCUGGAUUUGAUGGAAAAACUAUUGUUAUUGCCUUGGCAACUGGGCAAAAGCGCUUUAGUGCCUCUCUGUGCAAGCUUGUUGAUAAAUAUGCUGAAAUCUUAGCAAGUCAAGGGUUGCUGACCAUAUUAAUGGAGUAUCUAAAACUUUUGGGUUCUGAAGAACUUUCGACAGAACUUGUUGUGAUAUUGAAGGACCGAAUUGCAUUGUCUACGGAACCUGGUAAACUUUUUCUUGGAUUUCUAUAUGCCAUGGUUAAAAAAAUAGAGGAAAAUGAUACAAAUUGAAUGCUAUUUAUUAGCAAGUGACUCUUCAAAUGCCACUUCUGGUUGAGGAAUAAUUCAAGUACUAGCAUUAUUGUGUAUUUUAUUCUAGUGGGAUAGCAUUACCAUUAUAAUUGCAUAGUGAACAUCAGUGCGUAGUUAUAUUUUGCUCUUAAUAAACGUGCAACAUUAUACACCUAACCAUAUUUCAGGAAGAUAUUGCCGGUUUUAGAAAGACCUAACUACUCAAGUGAUUACUUAUUGAUCACUCUUUUAAUAUUGUUAAUAACUAGUAGACUGGUUACUUAUUGAUCCGGAGCUGCCUCUUGUUGCUAAAUACCCUAGCUCCGAUCGUUUCAACCAUUUAUCUUGGGGGAGAAACGGUUCUUCUUCUGAAGGUUUUUCUCUCGGUCUCGUUGCUGGUGGAAUAUGCAAUGGAAACAUUGAUAUCUGGACUCCUUUCACUCUGAUUCGGUGAUUUUAUUUUAUUUUUUUCAAUCUUGCACGUUGUUUUUUUCAUCUUAAGAAUUGAUGAUUUCGUUUAAUAGAUUGUGAAAUGCAUUGAUUGGAGAUAUGAUUAUAUAUCAGUAAUUCCGAUUUCGGAGAAGUAGAAAUGUUUUUCUGACGUUAUGAAUUGAUCUUGGAAUUUGCUGAAAAUUUUGUUUUAUAUAGUUCAGUUACAAUUUUCACGUAGUGCUAAAUGCUUUGGUGGUUUAAGUCUGGAGAAUUUUGGUUCAUUUCUGCUCGUUAUUGUAACACAUAAGGGACCGGUAUGUUCUUCUCUGUUUUUGUGAGCCUACUUGCUGCAAGUUUUUAUCAUCUUCUUUGUUCUCUGGCAUAUAAGUAGUGUUUGCUAUUGAAAUCAUAUCUUCGACAUUCUUAUAUCUCAGGUUUGUGGACUUGAGUUUAAUACAAUUGCACCCAAUUUUUGUGAUUUGAUGCAAGUAAAGGAUAAUUUUGGCUGCCAUUUAUACAUAAUCUAUGUGUUGGGAAACUCAAAACUAAAUUCCCGUACUAGAAUGGUUGUCAGGUAUCAUGAAAAUGGAGCAACACAGUAGUUUCUGUUUGAGUAAACAAAUUAAUUGAGCUUCUUUGCUAGCUUCAUGUUUUUCUUUUAUUUGGUUGAAGUUGUUGAUAAAAUACACCUACAUUAUAAUUCAGUAUGUAGGUUCAUAGCUUUAUUGAUCAGUGUUUUAAUUUUAGUGUCGCAUGAUACAAUUUUCUCAAUUUCUUUCUAAUGAUUUUGUUUUUCUGAUAAAUUUUCUCCGCUUGGAGGAAAAUGAAAGUUCUCUCGUUGGACAACUUGUAAGGCAUAAGGGACCGGUUCGUGGACUUGAGUUUAAUACAAUUGCACCCAAUCUUCUUGCAUCUGGUGUUGAGGAUGGUGAAAUUUGCAUAUGGGAUUUGGCCAAUCCUUCAGAGCCUACACAUUUUCCACCAUUAAAGAUAAGAAUUUUUUUCCCUCUAUGGUGUUUAGUCACCCCCUCUUAUGAUGGAUUAAUAUGCUCUUAAUCUUCAAAUAUAUGGCUCUAUAAUUUGAUAUUUUUACACAUAGUGUUUAUGAUCACUGUGCAGGGUAGUGGCUCUGCUUCCCAGGGGAAGUUUCAUUCUUAUCUUGGAAUAGUAAAGUGCAACACAUAUUAGCAUCCACUUCAUAAAAUGGGACCACUAUGGUUUGGGACCUAAAGAAGCAAAAGCCAGUGAUAAGCUUUGCAGUGGAAUCCUGUGUUGCUACACAACUUGUUGUUGCAUCAGAUGAAGACGGAUCUCCUUCUAUAAGGCUUUGGGAUAUGAGAAAUAUAAUGACACCGAUAAAGGAGUUUUUGGGGCACCGAUAUGAGGAAUAUAAUGACACCGAUAAAGGAGUUUUUGGGGCACACUAGAGGCGUAAUUGCAAUGUCAUGGUGUCCCAAUGAUAGCUCUUAUUUGCUUACCUGUGGCAAAGAUAGCCGAACCAUAUGCUGGGACACUAUUUCUGGAGAGAUUGCCUGUAAAUUGCCAGCCGGAACUAACUGGAACUUUGAUGUGCAUUGGUAUUCUAAGAUACCUGGAGUAAUAGCAUCUUCCUUUGGAAAAAUAGGCAUGUACAAUAUUAAGAAGACUUUGGCUAGGGAAGAAACCCGUUUCCGACCAUCCUGCUGCUUUAAUUUGUAUCUUAUGAUUAGUAGACACGUGUUAAAUAUUUUCUUUCUAAAGAUGAAUUAUAAAACUGCUACUUGUCAGAAUUAUCAAUGAGAGAAGGUUUAUAAAGAUAACUAAGCUUUCUUGAAUAUAAGCAUGCCGUUGGAGAGCAUAUAAUUCUAGGACUUGGAGGCUGUAUUUUGAACUUCAGUGAUUUAUGUUGUCGCUCGUUUAUUUUUCCAUGCUUAUUCUGAAUAUUGACUUACAUGUAAAGAGGCUGCU